rnacentral:rRNA from 1 species
CGCGGCCUAUCAGCUUGUUGGUGGGGUAAUGGCCUACCAGGGCGACGACGGGUAGCCGGCCUGAGAGGGUGUCCGGCCACACUGGGACUGAGAUACGGCCCAGACUCCUACGGGAGGCAGCAGUGGGGAAUAUUGCACAAUGGGCGCAAGCCUGAUGCAGCGACGCCGCGUGGGGGAUGACGGCCUUCGGGUUGUAAACCUCUUUCAGUAGGGACGAAGCGCAAGUGACGGUACCUACAGAAGAAGCACCGGCCAACUACGUGCCAGCAGCCGCGGUAAUACGUAGGGUGCGAGCGUUGUCCGGAAUUACUGGGCGUAAAGAGCUCGUAGGUGGUUUGUCGCGUUGUUCGUGAAAUCUCACAGCUUAACUGUGAGCGUGCGAGCGAUACGGGCAGACUGGAGUACUGCAGGGGAGACUGGAAUUCCUGGUGUAGCGGUGGAAUGCGCAGAUAUCAGGAGGAACACCGGUGGCGAAGGCGGGUCUCUGGGCAGUAACUGACGCUGAGGAGCGAAAGCGUGGGGAGCGGACAGGAUUAGAUACCCUGGUAGUCCACGCCGUAAACGGUGGGUACUAGGUGUGGGUUUCCUUCCUUGGGAUCCGUGCCGUAGCUAACGCAUUAAGUACCCCGCCUGGGGAGUACGG